AUUUGGUAUGAGUCUUGGUCGAGGUCAUCUAUGACUCCCCUAGACAAAGAAAUUUUCUACGUUUUUGAUUAACUACUGAAGAGUCUACCUAGAAGAUUCUUGUGGUGUAUUAAUUCUCACACCGUUGGGUGAAAUUUUCCGGUAUGUAGAAAUUUCUUUGAGUCUUAUUUUCCUAAGAUUUUUAAUUGUGCUAAAUUUAAUUUUUUUCAUAGGUAUCAUGGAUGAAACAAAUCCCAUGGCUGGCAACAUGAUUAAGCAGCUCUGUCAGCAGGCUACAUAUUAACAGAAGAGCUCACUUGAGCUUGUAGCCAGGGGUUCGGCCACCCUUGUGAUUGACUUACUUCCUUUGUCUAGCGGUGAAGGUAGAACAGAAAGGUCCCUCAAGAGGUUCUCUCGCCAGGCAUCAUCGGGUGUUGGUGCUAGUUCUUUCUCUCUAUUUUAGAGAGAAUCUUCAAGUUUCAAGGGGAGUGCAGGUUGCACUUACCCCUUUCGAGGAGGAGGUAAUGAACUAUCAGCGUCGAUCAAAUAUAUGAUAUCAGUUUGCAUCGAGAUGUUGAGCGGGUCCCUAGUUCUGACUAGGGUGAUCAGAACCGAGGUGCAAAAGUCCUCCUUUGCUACGACUAAAAACUUAAAGGCAGAGUUAACUGACUUAACCAGCUCAUUGGAGGCGAAUACCUCUUUGGAAGAGGAGUCUCAUCGGGCGAAGGCUGAGCUAGAAAAUGCCUGAUCAUAAACUUCGAUAGUUCAAUUGACCAUCCAAUCAUUCGUCA
rnacentral:lncRNA from 1 species